UGUUUCGUAGCUCAGUGGUAGAGCACCUCACUUUUAAUGAGGGUUGCGUUGGUUCGAACCCAACCGGGACAA
rnacentral:tRNA from 2 species